rnacentral:rRNA from 1 species
GACGAACGCUGGCGGCGUGCUUAACACAUGCAAGUCGAACGGAAAGGCCCUGCUUUUGUGGGGUGCUCGAGUGGCGAACGGGUGAGUAACACGUGAGUAACCUGCCCUUGACUUUGGGAUAACUUCAGGAAACUGGGGCUAAUACCGGAUAGGAGCUCCUGCUGCAUGGUGGGGGUUGGAAAGUUUCGGCGGUUGGGGAUGGACUCGCGGCUUAUCAGCUUGUUGGUGGGGUAGUGACUUACCAAGGCUUUGACGGGUAGCCGGCCUGAGAGGGUGACCGGCCACAUUGGGACUGAGAUACGGCCCAGACUCCUACGGGAGGCAGCAGUGGGGAAUAUUGCACAAUGGGCGGAAGCCCGAUGCAGCAACGCCGCGUGCGGGAUGACGGCCUUCGGGUUGUAAACCGCUUUCGCCUGUGACGAAGCGUGAGUGACGGUAAUGGGGAAAGAAGCACCGGCUAACUACGU